ACACGACUACAUUAGAUACCCCUGUAGUCCUAGGCGUAAAUGAUGCGAGUUAAGUNUGGGGGCAUCUACGAGAUGGCCCUGUGCUGUAGGGUAGCCGUUAAACUCGCUGCCUGGGGAGUACGGUCGCAAGGCUGAGACUUAAAGGAAUUGGCGGGGAGCACCACAAGAGGUGGAGGCUGCGGUUCAAUUGGACUCAACGCCGGAAACUCAUCGGGAGCGACAGCAGUAUGAUUGCCAGGUUGAUGACCUUGCUUGACAAGCUG
rnacentral:rRNA from 1 species